CCUGUGGAGCGUUAUAUCAAACGAGAGUAGCUUGUUCUUCGGAGUGGCAAAAUCGGACGCAAUGAAUCAGGAA
rfam:Selenomonas ruminantium subsp. lactilytica TAM6421 DNA, complete genome.